UCUCACACCUCUUACUUUCUUUUCUUCUUUUUCUCUCCUCUUCCCCCUCCCCCGAUCCCUUCUCUUCUUCCUUCCUCUUCUUUUUCUCUCUUCUUCUCCCUUCCUCCCUCACUGUCACACUCCAGCCGACAGCCCCUUCUUUCUCCCUUCUCUCCCUCUUUCACGCAUAGCCCCUCCCUUGUUUUCCUCUUCCCUUAUCGGCUAAAUCUCCUCUCCCUCUCCCUGUUCUGCAUGGCCCAGCAGCCCACCCGAACCCUCUCUACCUCUCCCUCUCCUUCUGUCUGACUCACCCACCCACACACACACUGGUUGCAAACCCAGACCGUUCCCAUUUCUUUUCCCUCUCUUCCCUCCACAUCACACACACGCACACCCAAGAGAGAUCGAUCGAGGGAGAUCAUCGCCGUGAGAGAUGCUGGCCGUGUUGUUGAAGAAGAAAAGUUGAAGGAGAAGAAAACUGGGAUUUCGGCCAUAGGGGAAAAAUCACGAAAUCAUGUUAGGAUCCAAACUCCACUUUGUGAUUUCUUUAUACCUGUUUAAGCAAGAGCUAAAUUAUUGGAUCUCUUGUGCUUGAACCAAUUGUGGGAAUCAGUUUUAGGUCUUAUUUGAGUGAUUGAUUGUUGAGGGUAACCGAAUGGGUCAUGGGUGUUUGAUUUUAUUAUGAUUUUGGCAGUUCCUUGUCUUGAGUUGAUUAUGGGUGUUGUUGGGUAAAACUGGUUGGGAAUCUUGAAUUUUUGAAGCUACAACUGAUUUGGUAUUUUGGAUUAUUGAUUCUUGACCGAAUCAGUGAGUUCUUGGAUGUUGGGUAGAUGCUCUUGUUAUAGUUGUGUGCCUUGUUAAGUUAUAUGAUAUUUUGGAAAUAUUUGAUGUCUGUUUUGGUUCACAGAAUGAGUUGUUAAUUUUGAACAUAUACUUAGCCUUGAAGAUGGAUUUUGGUUGAUUAGGCUUUUGAUUUUGUAGUUCCUGUAAUCCAUGGGCCUUAGCCGAUUGGGUGGUUUUCUUGGUGUGUUUGAGUCUUCAAUGGUUGUCUUAGAUGGUGAUUUUAUGGGUGCCUCUAGGGAUUUCGAGUUUGUGAUAAUAUAUUUAUGUUUUGAUAAUUCUAGUCAGGUUUUGGUUUGUAUUUUAAAAUCAUGGUUGAUGGAACCUUUGGAGUUUAACCUAAGUUGGAAUCUUGGAGUUUUUAUGAUUAUUGGUUUAGAAGAUUAAUUUUAUAGGGAUUGUUGUUGUUGUGGAAAAUUCUGGUUGGGGUUCUUUGGGUUGGCCGAAUGGUGUUUAUUUUAUGGGUUUUGAUUCUUGAUUUUUGUAACCUAUGAUUAAUGCUUUAAUGUAAGUGGUUGAUGUUUGAAUGAAAAGUGAUUAUGAAGGGUAAUUUGAUGGAAAUUCAGAUCUGGUUUGUGUUUGUAAAUUGGGGGAUAAUGGUGUUAAUUUAUGGUUAAUGCCCUAUGGUAGAUUAUAGAAUAUUGGGUUGGAUUAGAUCCAAUUUUGGAAAGGAAUUUGGUGAAUGAUUGAGGUUUAUGAUUGUUGAAGUUUUGAUAGUUUGAUGUGAAGAAUUUUAGAGCUUAGCUUGGUGAUUUAUAGUUGAGCUUUGAGGAAUAUAUGGGCUAAUUUUUAUGAGUGAUUUAAUGGAAUUCAACUCUGAUUUGGAUUAGUAGUUUAAUGAUGCAUGAUUAAUGUUUAUGUGAUAGGGAUUGAGGUUAAUGUUUGUGGUUGAUUGAUUGGUAUUUUGGUGUUGAUUUGGAGUGAACUAUGAUGUUAAAGUUAAUGUGUUAGAUCCUCUUGGUGUAAAUGACAAACGGGAUGAAAAUAGAGAAUGGGUUAAUAGUACUAUAUGUUAGUAUUUUGGCCUCAUUCUGUGUUUGGACAAAAUCACUUAAGUGUAAAGAUGCUGUAAACAGGGAUUCCACUAUUCAGAGUCUGCAAGUCAGAAGCAAUUCAAGUUCCCUGUCAGCCAUCCGAACGAUCGAGCCAUCCCGUCUGGACGCCCAUCUGUCCACUGUUCCAUCUGUCCGGACGACGUGUCAUCCCGUCCGGACGCUAGACAGACCAGCAUCGUCCGUCCGGACGAAGUGUUCAUUCCGUCCGGACCCCAUACUGUAUCGAGAAGUUUCUGUGCCAGCUUGCAUCCGUCCGGAAGUUUCAGCAUCACGUCUGGACGCCUCCUAGUACUCGAUCAGCUUCUGAUUUCUUUCCAAGUUCCAAGAAAGGGAAGAACAGUCAACCGUCUGGACGAAGUGGUAUCCCGUCCGGACGCGCGUCUCCUUAAGGCAAGAAUCACAAUUCAAAUAUGACCGUCCGGACGUCUGACAGCUGUGUUCCGGACGUGCGUGCAUCAAAGAAGGAAAUUGUUGAUUCGACUUCAACCGUCCGGACGACUGCCUAUCAUGGUCCGGACGCGCGCAUUACCGAUAUGGAAAUUGCGUGUUGAAGAAUAGCCGUCCGGACACUGGAGUACCUUAUAAGGAAAUUACUUGCAGCGGACGUGCGACCGUCCGGACGAUGUGCCAUCCCGUCCGGACGAUGUCCUCAAACAGGAAAGAUUUCCAGCGAAAUUUUCGGAAAAUCUUGUCGCACAGUUGUCCAUCCGGACUGCCCAUGUCCACCGUCCGGACGGUGCCCAGGUAUAUUUUGCCUAACGCUCAUUUGAGCCCCCAGCCUAUAAAUAGAGGCCCCUGGGCACUGAGAACUGCAAGAAUUCAGUGUGAAUUCCAUUAGAGCUCAGAGAAGUCAUCAAUCCCUCUAAAGCCGUUUUACAAGUGUGUUGUGCUAUAAACCGAAGUCUAUCUUAGAGGUCGGCUCUAAGGUAAGGAGUUCCAUUGAAGACUCCUUCAGGUAGGUGAACCUGGUUGGGAAGCGUUCGUGUUGGGUUACACGUCAGAGAUCAAGAUGAUGUCUCUUUGGCUGCAGGAACUCGGGUCGUAGACGUGCAUUUGGGAUAUUAUGACCGGAGCUCGCCGCGACGGUCGUAACUGCGGGACCAUGGGCGUCCUCAGUUUUAUAGGUUUUGUUUAUGGCUUGUGACGCCUAAGUCACUUGUUAUUGUGUAAAGCCAUUUCUGUUAUGUAUUCAUAUUGAGAAAAGACUUAAACAGAUAGAUGUUAAAUGGCUCUUAUUGUUAUUAAUUUAUGAUAUACGUUUAAGAUGUGAUUUCCGCUA